CCUACGGGUGGCAGCAGUCGAGAAUCAUUCACAAUGGGGGAAACCCUGAUGGUGCGACGCCGCGUGGGGGAAUGAAGGUCUUCGGAUUUUAAACCCCUGUCAUGUGGGAGCAAAUUAAAAAGAUAGUACCACAAGAGGAAGAGACGGCUAACUCUGUGCCAGCAGCCGCGGUAAUACAGAGGUAUCAAGCGUUGUUCGGAAUCACUGGGCGUAAAGCGUGCGUAGGCUGUUUCGUAAGUCGUGUGUGAAAGGCGCGGGCUCAACCCGCGGACGGCACAUGAUACUGCGAGACUAGAGUAAUGGAGGGGGAACCGGAAUUCUCGGUGUAGCAGUGAAAUGCAUAGAUAUCGAGAGGAACACUCGUGGCGAAGGCGGGUUCCUGGACAUUAACUGACGCUGAGGCACGAAGGCCAGGGGAGCGAAAGGGAUUAGAUACCCCAGUAGUC
rnacentral:rRNA from 1 species